GUGGGGCGAGUCAAUCAAAAGGUCGUCCAAAUUCUAUUGGGGAAGCGGCAUGUUUGUUUAGGAGAUUUUAAAUGUCAGCACUGGCUUUCAGAGAUCAUGCACCCCGCCUUUAACUAAAAUUUCUCAUGAUCUUAAAACCUUUAAAUCUGAAGUUGUAUGCUUGAAUGUUUGAAAUUUCUUCUUAAGACAAAAAUAAAAUUUUGCCAACAUAUUCUUUUCUUUCAUUAGAACACAAACAUUUUGUUUAAUAAAUUAUCACCCGAACAGUGACCAAAGUCUUUACAGGCCGACAGUCAAAAAUGAGCAUCAUGAGAACAACCAUUGAUCCGGUGCAGGAGACAAGUGGAGGUCUCGACCAGCAGCCAGCCGGUUUGGUGAACAGCGAAGGUUGAGCAUCUCCCAUCAGGCAGCUGGUUCAGGGACCACCAGGAGUUCAACAGUUAACGAAGUCUUCACAGACCGAUGGUCAGAAAUGAGCACCAUAAGUACCACCAAUGAUCCGGUACAGGAGGCGGGUUGGCGCUGCUCAGCGACGGUUGAACAUCUCACUUCAGGUGGCUGGUGCAGGGACCACUGACCCAAACCCAUGCUGUGAGCUCAACUGAUGAGCAAACAAAUAAAAGGAAAAAGGCUGUCAUGCAUUCUUCCAGAGAAAAUGAUGUGCAGUGAAAAGUGCUUUCAAGUGCCGCAGAGGAAACAAAUUGGAGCCUCUUAAUAUCCAGUUGAAUGCCCCACUGGAUG